rnacentral:rRNA from 1 species
UACGAAGGGUGCAAACGUUGCUCGGAAUUACUGGGCGUAAAGCGCAUGUAGGCGGCAGCGCAAGUCGGGCGUGAAAUCCCACGGCUCAACCGUGGAAGUGCACUCGAAACUGCGCAGUUAGAGUCCUGGAGAGGAAGGUGGAAUGCUUGGUGUAGAGGUGAAAUUCGUAGAUAUCAAGCGGAACACCGGUGGCGAAGGCGGCCUUCUGGACAGUGACUGACGCUGAGAUGCGAAAGCGUGGGGAGCAAACAGG